rnacentral:rRNA from 1 species
UACGUAGGGUGCGAGCGUUGUCCGGAAUUACUGGGCGUAAAGCGCGUGUAGGCGGCAGGGCAAGUCUGGUGUGAAAACUCACGGCUCAACCGUGGGACUGCGCUGGAAACUACACGGCUUGAGGACGGUAGAGGGAGACGGAACUGCUGGUGUAGGGGUGAAAUCCGUAGAUAUCAGCAGGAACGCCGGUGGAGAAGUCGGUCUCCUGGGCCGUUCCUGACGCUGAGGCCCGAAAGCUAGGGGAGCAAACCGG